UUUGGGCGCGUAGAUGAAGGGAAGGCGGAAGUAGAACAUUAAAUAGAUGAGCAGUGGACCGACACACUCGGCCAGGAACACCUGAAAUGGACACGAACGACGUCACAUAGGAGCCAGCUCAGCAGUGGAAGGACAGACUGAAUGGCUCGGUGGGCAAAGGGUGAACAAAGUGAGAGGCAAAUGAGAGGCUGGAGAGGGAUAAACACCAGCAGGAGAAAUGGGGGCAUGAGAUUAGAUGUCCCGGCGUUAGAGGACAGCCUCUGUAGGAGCGUGCCUGAGCGCCAAGAGGGUGAGCGAAAAAAUGCCUGGAAGAUGAGCCGGUGUGGAAGAACACGACACUGGGAGCCUCACCUGAAUAGCUCGGACCGGAGCCCCCGUCAUGCUAGCAAACACACACGUUGAAGACGAAACCGGAGAGCCGCAAGACAUAAUCCACAGAGCGCCAUUUGCAAGGCUAAAUAUAAGCCGGCUGAUUUGCUCUUCGCACUGCAGCUCGCUUGGUAACCUUGGGACGGCGCUUGCGGAACACAAUACCAAUGUGCGGUCUUUGGACGCCGGUCAACUACUGGUUCUGGACAAGCGAUUGGAGACUCAACUGCUCGGCUUCUGGCUUUGGCAGCUCAAGAAAGGCCCGAUUAAAAACCCGGUGGGUGGGAUGAAAGACCUCCACAUGCCAACGCACAUAACCCCCUCUCCUUACUUCCUCCCAUGACCUCGGACCACCUGUGUGCCGGGUAUUCAUUCCUCCUUCUGACCUCCAUAGAAAAUAUUGGACGGAAAAGACAUUCCAUAAUCUUCACAGUACUACCUUUUUAGUCUAUUUUUUUUUUAGUUUUUUACUCCAAUGCUACUUAUACUUUCUCUCUUGUGGAAGGCAACAUGUCACGUAUAUACAAUUGCAAAAUAGUGUCUAAAUAAACAGAUGUCAUAA